rnacentral:rRNA from 1 species
CUACGGGGGGCUCCAGUGGGGAAUUUUGCGCAAUGGGGGAAACCCUGACGCAGCAAUACCGCGUGAGUGAAGAAGGCCUUUGGGUCGUAAAGCUCUUUUCUUGGGGAAGAUAGUGACGGUACCCAAGGAAUAAGCACCGGCUAACUCCGUGCCAGCAGCCGCGGUAAUACGGAGGGUGCAAGCGUUGUUCGGAUUUACUGGGCGUAAAGGACACGUAGGCGGCACAGCAAGUUAAGGGUGAAAUCCCGGGGCUCAACUCCGGAACUGCUCUUAAAACUGCUGAGCUAGAGAUAGUCAGAGGCGGGUGGAAUUCCAGGUGUAGAGGUGAAAUUCGUAGAUAUCUGGAGGAACACCGGUGGCGAAGGCGGCCCGCUGGGGCUAUUCUGACGCUAAGGUGCGAAAGCGUGGGGAGCAAACGGGAUUAGAUACCCUUGUAGUC